CGGGGCAUAGCGCAGCCUGGUAGCGCACCUGCUUUGGGAGCAGGGAGUCGGGGGUUCGAAUCCCUCUGCCCCGACCA
rnacentral:tRNA from 1 species